rnacentral:rRNA from 1 species
GACGAACCGAGCGAACGUUGUUCGGAAUCACUGGGCUUAAAGGGCGCGUAGGCGGGCUGUCAAGUUUGGGGGGAAAUCCCGCGGCUCAACCGUGGAACUGCCUCAAAUACUGACGGUCUCGAGGGAGGUAGGGGCGAGCGGAACUGAUGGUGGAGCGGUGAAAUGCGUUGAUAUCAUCAGGAACUCCGGUGGCGAAGGCGGCUCGCUGGACCUCUUCUGACGCUGAGGCGCGAAAGCUAGGGGAGCAAACGGG